GAGAGAAAGGUUGAAGGCUGACUAUUUUUCAAAUACAAAAUCUUUAUUAGAGGCGGAGCAUGCUUGCCCACCUUCAAUAAAUCUUGGCCAAUGGAAGUGGCUUGUUUAUAACUAUUGGAGCUCCCCUAAGCAGAAGGAAAGGAGUGAGAAGAAUCGGGCUAAUGCUCUUGCAAAGAAGAUCAAGUCGGCAUGUGGUGCGAAAUCAAAAACUUGCAUAAUUUAUGAAUUGGAACUUGAGGCACAAGCUUGUGAAAAUGAGAAUGAGGUCACCGAAAUCAAUGGUUCUAGUUCAAAUGUAACCACUGCAUCCCAAGCUAAUGAUGAUCCCAUGUAUUUAAAGUUAUGGGAGAAGUAAAGAGGCAUAAAAAUGGGAAGUUUGACGAUGAGGCCGAGGAGAAGUUCAAGGAAUUAAGGGAGUUGCAUGAGAAAGAAAUUGGUGAAAAGGGGGUUGAUAAUCUUACUCUUGAAGAAGCUUAUGUGAAGGUUCUUGGACAUCGUUCAGGUUAUGCCCGUGGUUUAGGCAAAGGGCACCCGGUGUCGUCUAAAGAUGGAAAGAUAGGAAGAGCUGAACUGGAACAUAAUGUUGAAAAACUACAAAAUGAAAAUAAUAUUAUGCGAGCUGAAUUGAAGAAGACCUAGAACAAAAGUUUCGGUUAAUCAUGGAGAAGAUUGGCCUUGAUGCUUGAUAGAGAGUGUGAUUGCUAAUGAUAUUGGUAUGAAGAAAGCUUUGCUGUUACUUAAUGGACCGGAUGUGAAAAGAUCUGGUCGACCAAAGGGUAAAAAGCGCUUAGAAGAAGAAGCUGUCGAUGACCUUUAUUAAUUUACAUUAGUUUUGUUUUUGUCAAGUUUGUAGUUAGGGGGUCAAAUCAAUGUUUUGGGGAUGGAGGACACCAAAAGGCUGGUUGCAAGGAUGAGAAGAUUGCUUGAUAGAAAACUUGGUUAAUACUUUUGUAUAUAUUUGCUAGAAAACUUGGUUAAUACAUAUAUAUAAUGACCAAAUUAAAAUUUAUGCCUAUUAGCACCUAUUAUAGAAAAUUUAUGCCUAUUGGCACCUAGAAUUAUUUUUUUAAAAAAAAAAAAACAAAAAAUUGA